rnacentral:rRNA from 1 species
GUGGGGAAUUUUGGACAAUGGGCGCAAGCCUGAUCCAGCCAUACCGCGUGGGUGAAGAAGGCCUUCGGGUUGUAAAGCCCUUUUGUUGGGAAAGAAAUCCUGUCGGUUAAUACCUGGCGGGGAUGACGGUACCCAAAGAAUAAGCACCGGCUAACUUCGUGCCAGCAGCCGCGGUAAUACGAAGGGUGCAAGCGUUACUCGGAAUUACUGGGCGUAAAGCGUGCGUAGGUGGUGGUUUAAGUCCGUUGUGAAAGCCCUGGGCUCAACCUGGGAAUUGCAGUGGAUACUGGAUCACUAGAGUGUGGUAGAGGGAUGCGGAAUUUCUGGUGUAGCAGUGAAAUGCGUAGAGAUCAGAAGGAACAUCCGUGGCGAAGGCGGCAUCCUGGGCCAACACUGACACUGAGGCACGAAAGCGUGGGGAGCAAACAGGAUUAGAUACCCUUGUAGUCC